GGAAAAUAGCAAUUUCAACUUUCAGUGCAAACUUCUUUUUUUAUCAAGACCUAUGUGGGUACAAUCGUGUGCAUGAAGGAUAAUAUAUAGGAUUUGAAGUCAUCAGAAUUGGAUUUGGGUCUCAUUCAUUCACUGACUGUGAUAUUGGACAAAUUCUCUCUAAAGCUAAAUUUUCAUUCCUAAAUAUUAUAUAUUUCACAAUAAGAUAUUGCUAUUGCAUUUAGAAUAACAUUUCCAUAUCUCUGGUGUAUCUGCAAAGCUGUUUUCUUCUUUUAAUAAUAUAAAACAUGGCAGUUUUCUCCUCCGUCUCCUUCCUAUCAGAGCCUGUAUCUGAGGCAGAGUUUCCUUUGGAUUUCUCAGGCUGCCUUACCC
rnacentral:lncRNA from 1 species